GACUAAGAAAGCCCAUUGAAAUGAUCUCCAGAUCCUGUCUGCUCUCUGAGGCUAACUAGAGCCAGCCCUGGUUGAUCCUUGGAUGGGAGACCGUAAGUGAAAACCAGAUUCUAUAGGCU
rnacentral:rRNA from 11 species